GUCGAUAAAGCUUCAGGUCGACGUGUACGCCGAGCGCGGUUUGGAGAAACGUUGUGAAAGGGCGUGACGUGGACAUAUGCUAACGAUGGAGAAGCGGGCGUGUGCCGUGGGAGGACAGGAGCGACGUGGUGCCAAAGUGCCAACUGAAGGGGCUUUAAAUCCAGCCGCUGUCUAUUGUUCAUGGAGGUCGAGUGAUGCAGGCCCACACGUGACGCCCCCGCGCUGCCGCGCGUGACCUUGUUCCGGAUACAUGAUGAUCAUAAUUAACGUUGUGAUGAAGCCAGAUGCCUUCAUCGAUCAUCUGGACACGCCACUCGUGCUGCUUGUGCUGAAACCCGGCGGACGCUCUUCCUUCACUGUAAUAACACGAGUGUGUAAACCAAGUAUAAAAACUAAACCAACACUACACACAAGCAAUGGUGGUUGUGUGAAGACGCGCCUUUAUGUGCGUCCAUCCUGCCAACCACGUCCAGCAGGUUGCUGGAGGAGCGCCAUGUCUGUUGUUUCGGCCCCUCUUUGGAGGCUCGGCGGGGUCUUUCCCACCGGCUCAGGGUCCUGAGAAGAAACGUGUUCUCGUCCUUCUUCACCGUCAUUCAAUCACGUCACAGAGGGACAAACGCACACGGGACGCUUUCAAUGACAAUUUUACUGUUAAAAUAGAGAUCAGAAGAGAAGAGAUCAACUUCAGAGAGGUCAGCAGAACCUCUGUGGAAGACGUGAAUAUGCUGGAUGGGGAAGAUGAUUAAGAGCAUAAUGACCAAGGGCCAAUUUUAAAAAAUGCUGCAGCGGUUUGCUUCCCUUUGGAACUUCAAAGCGGGAAAAGAGACAAAACGGAGGGAACAGAAAUAGAGGGGAACAAUCUUUGCUGCUGGAAAAAAAAAAGCGAAAUGUACUUCAAGCACCUUGAAGUCUGAGUAAUAUGAGUUGUUGUCACAGAGAACGAUGAGAGCGAGGAAAGACGUGAGAUCUGGACCUUGGGCUUUGAUCUUUAGUAAGGCACUACUUGUAAUACUUAAACAUCAAAGCUACAAAGUGAGAGGAUCUUUCAAUCUGAGCCGCCGCUGCACAAAACAGCCGGCUGAGUGACUCCCACACAUUUCCAAAUUGGAAAAUGGGAAAUGCUUUGUAGUUUGUUUGGUGACAACAGACGCUUUCAGGACCAGCGGUGUUCAUUAGUGGAGCGGACCGAAAGCUCUCGAUGCUCAAAAAUCCACUUUGAGGAGUGGCAGGUUAUGGGAGAUUUAUUUGUUCAAUAUAUUUCGAGAUCUCAGUGAGAUUUUAGUCAUUUUAUUGAAAGUUUGACGACACCAUCAAUCAGUCCUCAACAGAAAAAGUUCAUACGUCUUCCUGACAAGGACGUUGUGCUUAAAUCAUCACUAAGCAUCCACCUGUUGGGUCAUUUCCUUUUACCUGUGCUCGAAAAAAGGAGAAAAUAAGACCACAUUUUGAAAAAAAAAACUAUUAUUGCAAAUAUUUGCUUGGAUUAAAAGAACUAAAUUUGAAGUGCAAUGGAAUUGCAGAGAAAGGUUGUGGAGUUAACAGCACUCAAAUGAGUUCUGAACCUCUUGAAACUUUUCUUUUCAUUACAUCAUCUCGCUUUGUCCUUUUCUUAUGCAAUGAUUAGUCGCCGGAGAUCCACACGGAUCCUUCACCAAAAAUCGACAUUAGCUUCUUCUCCCCAAAAACCACAUAUCUAAAUCUUUGAAGAUUACUUAUGAAAUACUCUUUCAAACGGGCUUUGAGAGACACUGAUACUUUUUUGAUGAUCUCUGUCGUUUAUUCUCAAAGAUUUAUUGACAAUAUCUUGGCGACAUUUCUUUUUCUUUUCGGGGAAUCCCAUUUCAGUGGAAUUAGACACUUUGCCACUUUGUGUUGCUUUUGCAAAAACCUUGACGGGAUGGUUGAUCACACACAAUAAUGUUGUUUUGGUUUGGAUAUAAAGAAUGCCGGGGGAAAUGCUCACUGUAGCUUAAGAGAAGAUCUAUACUACAUUCCGGCAGUAAACUGUCACUGUGCAGGAUUUGUAAUCGGGGCAAUGAUUGGCAGGUGAUGGCGUUCAGUCCAUAAAUCAUACGUGGAAACCAUUCUUCUCCAAUAAAAUGACUGAGGGCUUUUGAGUUCUCCAAACCGUGUUCCAAUCAGAUCCCCGGGACCACCUGGAGCUCCCGAGAGUCGGGCUGGUGCAGUGAUGCUAAUUGGACCUCGUCUGUCUCCCCCUGUCUCCCGUCAAUUAGUCGUCUUCUCCGGGGUGAUGGAGGUCUCAAUCAC
ensembl:lncRNA